AGGUCUGUUCUUAGUACUUUCCAUCAAAGAGCUAAGCAGCAUGCAGCCCAGAGUCUCUGAAACUCAGCUCAAUCUGGGGUGGAGUUCAUUUGUCUUAUAAAACAGGGGAAUAUGCAAAUUGCAUAGCCACAUUUCCUGCUUAGUGCUGGCUAGUCCCCUGACCCUGCAGCUCUUGGAGACACAACCCACAGCCCCUCAGAUCCGUGCAGUUACCAGCCAACCCCCUGGGACCUCUCCCCAGAAUCAGAAAGAUGAAACACUGGCUCAGCAUCACAUCCAUUCUCUUUGCUUUCAAAGGUAAUUUAACUGCUAAAGAUGUUGGAGGUUCUUUUACAUAUGAGUCUUACUGUCUGUUUUUUCCAUCCAGGAGUCCAGACAGUCCAUGAAUUUGUGGCAUCCGGUGGAGAAAUUAAAAUGCUUGGGGACUCUCUCCGGAUCUCCUGCGAAACCUCUGGAUUCACCUUUAGUUACAACAGCAUGAACUGGCAAACAGAAUUAAAUUGGAAUGAAUGGAGUUUUGAGAAAUCACCUUCCUUCAUACCCUACCACAGCCAUAGAGAGAGACGAGAACUUUGUAAAGAAGUGUAUCACUGUGGACUUUGACUCUCCUGGGACACAAGUUACAGUAGAUCCAAAUAACCAAACACCUUCUCAGCCUUCUCUCGUGAUUUUGAAAUAUGAAGACUCCAGUGGUCCAACUGCUUGUUUAGCAAGGGAUUUCUACCCACCCGAACUGAAGAUGUCCAUGAAUGCUGACAGCCCAGUUCUAUAUGAAACCAUUGAGCCUGUCCUCUCAUCCAGAAAAUACCUUGCCGUAAAGGUUGUUAACAUUACAUCGAACCAAGAUGUGCAUUGCUCAGUACAACACCACAACAAAAAGUUUAAUAAAAUUCUUGCCUCAGAGAGAUCACCAGCUUUAACAACUCCUGGACCUACCACCAGCUCAACUGAGAUCUGCAGAACAUCAACUCCUAGCCCCCAAGAUGAAGAUAUGGAGAAAAUGAAUGCGCUGUCUAUCACUGUGCUGGGCUUGAGGGUGUUGCUAAUGAAAAGCAUUGCCUUGAAUAUGCUCCUGGUCACUAAAUACCUUUAUUUCUGAGGUUGGAUGAAGGAAGACAGCAAUGGCUUGAAGAAGAUACAAAUAAUUCAUUGGCUUUUAUUCUUUAUUAGAGCUGGUCAAAAAAUGAAAAUAAAAUCAAAAUAUCAAAGUUGAAAUUUUUGAAGCGUUCAAAAUGAAGCCAAUUUUUGUGUUUUCCAAAAAUCUUCACUGAAUUUUUAUAUAACAAAACAUUGAAUUUUUUAUUGAAAUCAUUAUCAAACUUUUCAGUCUACCAAAAACCUGCUUUUUAGCAAAUGAACAAAUAAGUAUUCUGAUAUUUUCAAUAAAUUUUGUGAAAAUUUUCACAAAAAUUAAAAAUAUUUAAAUAAUGCCUUUUUUGAGAAAAAAUAAUUUUUGAAUAAAAGCUCUUUUUGAUUAAAACAAUUAUCUCCAAAAUUUUAGCUAGCUCUUCACUUUAUUUUACUUUCCCCUAGCACUUUUAGUUUUUCUUUUAUUUUUCCCAGUAUAUCUUAAUUUUGAAUUAACUCAGCUCUUUCUAUAUAUGUGAAAUUCUAGGUUCAACAUAUGCAGUUAAAUGUCAUAUUUUUUUAAUUGUAUUAAAUGGCAACAUUUACAGUUUAUUUGUGCUAGCUGUAUUACAUUGAUUUUUUUAUUCAAAUCUAUCUUAAGAAUUAAUAAAGUCAAACCCAA